AUUGCUUCUUGGCCUUUUGGUGAAGAUCAAGUGUAGUAUCUGUUCCCAUCAGUUCAAAUGUAGUUACCAGCAAAUGUGAAAGCACGUAUGUGUGUAUCUCAACAUUUCUGUUGAACAGCAAGGUUCUUCUAGAACCUCGUUCCUUAAAGUGUGGUCCCUGCACCAGCAGCAUCACGAUUUCCUAA